AUGUACAUUCCUACAACACAAUGUUAAUGCAUCGGAUCCCAUUAGAAAUUUGCAGUUAAUCGUGCUUGGGAUAGAGUAAUACGGGGAUGGGUGACUGCUCGGGAAGUGCUAUUAUUUUGCAUG
rfam:Picea glauca, whole genome shotgun sequence.